UCCGAUAUGGUGUAGUGGCUAACAUUAUCGCCUCUCAUGCGUGAGCCACCUCUACUUUGGAGCGCGAUAGCCCGGGGUUUGAUUCCCCGUGUCGGAA